GAAGUUGUGCAGCCAAUCCAUAUCAUCCAGGCUGGGCUUGCUCCUUGGCACGAGGGCAGCUGAGCCCCUCAGGGAGGGAGCUUUCGUGGAAGAAUCAGUGUGGCCUUCUUAUCAAAACAACCAGCACAUUAAUCCUGGCACCACAAAGAUCUGCCAGUUAUUAAUUAUUAAUCAGCAAACUAAAAAUAAAUGCAUAAAAUAA